UACGAAGGGGGCUAGCGUUGCUCGGAAUCACUGGGCGUAAAGGGUGCGUAGGCGGGUCUUUAAGUCAGGGGUGAAAUCCUGGAGCUCAACUCCAGAACUGCCUUUGAUACUGAGGAUCUUGAGUUCGGGAGAGGUGAGUGGAACUGCGAGUGUAGAGGUGAAAUUCGUAGAUAUUCGCAAGAACACCAGUGGCGAAGGCGGCUCACUGGACCGAUACUGACGCUGAGGCACGAAAGCGUGGGGAGCAAACAGG
rnacentral:rRNA from 1 species